UACAGAGGUCCCAGGCGUUGUUCGGAUUCACUGGGCGUAAAGGGUGCGUAGGUGGCCAGGUAAGUCUGAUGUGAAAUCUCGGAGCUCAACUCCGAAACUGCAUUGGAUACUAUCUGGCUGGAGGGUCGGAGGGGGGACUGGAAUUCUCGGUGUAGCAGUGAAAUGCGUAGAUAUCGAGAGGAACACCAGUGGCGAAGGCGAGUCCCUGGACGACUCCUGACACUGAGGCACGAAAGCUAGGGGAGCAAACAGG
rnacentral:rRNA from 1 species